CUCGAGGCCAGAUCUUUCCGGUUGAUCCUGCCGGACCCGACCGCUAUCGGGGUAGGGCUAAGCCAUGCGAGUCGCGCGCCCGGGGGCGCCCGGGAGCGGCGCACGGCUCAGUAACACGUGCCUAACCUAACCUCGGGAGGGGGACACCCCCGGGAAACUGGGGUCAAUCCCCCAUAGGGGAAGGGCGCUGGAAGGCCCCUUCCCCGAAAGGGACGGCGGCCGAUCCGUCGCCGUCCGCCCGAGGGUGGGGGCACGGCCCAUCAGGUAGUUGGCUGGUUAAAGGCCCGCCAAGCCGAAGACGGGUAGGGGCGGUGAGAGCCGCGAGCCCCGAGAUCGGCACUGAGACAAGGGCCGAGGCCCUACGGGGUGCAGCAGGCGCGAAUACUCCGCAAUGCGGGCAACCGCGACGGGGCUACCCCGAGUGCCGGGCGAAGAGCCCGGCUUUUGCCCGGUCUAAAACGCCGGGCGAAUAAGCGGGGGGCAAGUCUGGUGUCAGCCGCCGCGGUAAU
rnacentral:rRNA from 1 species